rnacentral:rRNA from 1 species
GUGUGCCUACGGGGGGCAGCAGUGAGGAAUAUUGGUCAAUGGACGAGAGUCUGAACCAGCCAAGUAGCGUGAAGGAUGACUGCCCUAUGGGUUGUAAACUUCUUUUAUAUGGGAAUAAAGUGAGCCACGUGUGGCUUUUUGUAUGUACCAUACGAAUAAGGAUCGGCUAACUCCGUGCCAGCAGCCGCGGUAAUACGGAGGAUCCGAGCGUUAUCCGGAUUUAUUGGGUUUAAAGGGAGCGUAGGCGGGUUAUUAAGUCAGUUGUGAAAGUUUGCGGCUCAACCGUAAAAUUGCAGUUGAUACUG